CAUUGCCCGGGGUCCAGCUGGGCAUCAGUCAGCUGAUGGCUAUGGGAAGAGGAGCGCAUCAGGGGAGUCUGACCGAACUCUGUCACUCUUCAGCAGAGGAUGUCUGAUGUGAUAGCACCUCCUUCUUCUUACCAACUAAAUAGGGACAAUGACGUGAUUAGCAUUGGCAGAGGAACAGAUGUUGUGGGCACCCAAGUUAGACAGAGUCAGCCCCAACCUCAACAUCCUGUGCAGGAAGCCAAAAACAACAGACAACUGAGUCUUUCAGCAUAAAUCUGGUUGUGAUUCAGCUGCCUCCCCAUUUUACAUGCCCAUUGCCACCUAAUACACCCAGAAAUGGUGAUCUGCAGGGCUCAAGUGCUAAGGGAGACCUCAGAUCAUUUUGCUCAGAUGUUAGAUUUUGCAACAUCUGUCAAAGAUGGCUUUCUGGAAAUCUAAUCUAAGUGUGAAGAGAGGCUGGCGACCAGCCCAGGCUGCCAAAGGCAGGAUUUAUUCCCCCCACAGCAGCCCAAUGCUGCAGAAAUGCACCAUAUAUAUUACCACAGUACUGUGCCUAAAGAUUAUGACAGCCAGUGCAAUUCAUACACAGCCCAUCUCCCAGACACGUAUCAGGACCACUCCAGCACUGCCCCCAGGGUUCUCAUGCAGCAGCCAAGGGCAUCAGCACAGCAAGUGGUUUGGGCUGUGCACUACAGAAAUGCUGUGCAGUGCGGUGGGUUUGAUCCAGCAGACCUCACAGACAUUACAGGGGUGGCAAAACUUAGGAUGUCUCAUCAGAGGAGAACAAACACGUGCGUUUGUGUUUUUUUUCUUCUUUUUUUCCUUUCUAAUAAAGAUCCCAUUUUUACUUUAACACAAGCCUAUUCCAAAUGUACUCUGAGAUCUCAGUCUCUGCUAGGUUUUACACCUAAUAAAAUCUAGUAAAUUUGUAUGAAUUCAAUAUAAGUAUUGCAGCAAGAUGCAUUUCUUGCUGAUAUUUGAAAUACAACCUAAUAAACAAAUUAAACCAACCUAAAGGCAGAUGAACAUAGGACUUGCUCACUUGGCCCUGGUCUUACAACACCUCUGAGUAAAACACCCACUUGCGGGGUGCAGAGCUGAGCAUGCACAAAAGCUACAAGGUCUUAGAUCUUGAAUGACAUGGCAAAAUUCAGUUUGCUUACUAAAACCAAUUCCUCAUUUAAUAAAUAAACAUUUUAAAAUAUCAAUCAUAUUGAAUUUCCAGAUGUUGUCAUAUUUUUAUGCUUGGCUUAUGUCAACCUCAUCACUAUGACUGAUUACCUGUAAACCACAAGUAAAUAAUAAGCAACAGUGUCACCAUUCCACAUUUUCUUAAAAUAUAAAUUAAAAAAAAAAGAAAAUUGGAAAGAAAAAUUCCUAAAGAGUUACUCUCUGAUUUCUUUUAGGAAAGAUUGUCAAAACUUCUGCUUUCUGAGUGGCUGGCAAUUAAUUUACGCAUCAUGUCCCAAAAACUGCAGAAGAUACCUUUAUUGAUGAUUUGGAUGAGGGAAUUGAGUGUACCCUCAGUAAGUUUGCAGACGAUACCAAGUUGGGGGGAAGUGUUGAUCUGCCAGAGGGUAGGAGUGCCCCACAGAGGGAACUGGACUGGAUGGGUCGAUGGGCAGAGGCCAAUGGGGUGAGGUUCAACAUGGCUAAGUGCUGGGUCCUGCACUUUGGCCACAACAACCCCAUGCAGUGCUACAGGCUUGGGGCAGAGUGGCUCAAAAGCUGUGCAGAGGUAAAGGACCUGGGGGUGUUGGUCGAUGCUCGCCUGAAUAUGACCCGGCAGUGUGCCCAGGUGGCCAAGAAGGCCAACAACAUCCUGGCUUGUAUCAGGAACAGUGCAGCCAGCAGGACCAGGGAGGUGAUCGUUCCCUGUACUCUGCUCUGGUGAGGCCGCACCUCGAGUGCUGUGUUCAGUUUUGGGCCCCUCACUACAAGAAGGACAUUCAGGCCCUGGAACGUGUCCAGAGAAGGGCUACAAAGCUGGUGAAGGGCCUGGAACACAAGUCCUAUGGGGAACGGCUGAGGGAACUGGGGGUGUUUAGUCUGGAGAAGAGCAGGCUCAGGGGAGACCUCAUUGCUCUCUGCAACUACCUGAAACGAAGGUGUGGGGAGCUGGGGGUCGGCCUCUUCUCACAGGUAACUAGUGAUAGGACUAGAGGGAAUGGCCUGAAGUUGUGCCAGGGAAGGUUCACGUUGGAAAUUAGGAGACAUUUCUUCUCAGAAAGAGCAGUCAGGCAUUGGAAUGGGUUGCCUAGGGAAGUGGUGGCAUCACUGUCACUGGGGGUGUUUAAGGAAAGGCUGGACAUGGUGCUUAGGGACAUAGUAUAGUGGGUGAUAUUGGGAUUAGGGUGAUGGUUGGACCAGAUGAUCUGGAGGCUUUUUCCAACCUUAAUGAUUCUAUGACUAUGCACAACACAACUCAUCCUGCACCAUUAAAGUCCAAAUGUUGCAUAGCAAACAAACCCUGCCACAGAGUGGCACCCAACAGAAGGUCUGCACCUAAAGACCUAUCAACUGUAGGCAUACACAAAAGGAAUCUCAACUCUGACUCUCCAUAAACAUAUAAAUUCAAAGUUUUUUUUGUGAAGCUUAUGUGAAACAGACCCAUUUACUUAAUAUAGCAUACUGGUGAACUUGUUAACCUAAAAACUGUUUAUCAAAACUACUGAGGCAACAGGGCUAAAAAAUUGCCACCUCAUGACAAAUAGGUCAGUCGGUCAUAUUUUUUAUUUAGCUUAAAAAUAUCUGUACUAUUACCUUUGCUUGUUUCAUACAUUACAGACCAAGUACAGUGAUCUGAUAUGGUUCUAGUGUUGCAAAAAGAUGUCUUGCCCCUUUUCUUGUUAGUAUGAAAGAGCACUCUAUUUAAGAAGCAUAAAAUAAGAAAAAUCUGUUGCCUAAUGUUUUUCCUCUAGUGAGUGACUCCCUCCCCAGACCAAUAUAUCUAGGCUGUGUACAGCUCUUUCAGCAAAUACUGGAUAUAAAUUACACUUCUUUACCAGCUUACUCAUGCUCUUUUCACACUCACAUGGCAGAGGCUGUUCACUGAGGGGGUGGUUGGGCACUGGAACCAGCUCUCCAAGGCAGUGGUCACAGCACUGAGCCUGCUGGAUGGAGUUCAAGUAGCACUUGGACAAAGCUUUCACACAUAGGGCCUGAUUUUAAGAAAGUCUUGUGUGGAGCCAGGAGCUUGGACUUGAUGAUCCUUGCUCCCUCCAAUUUUAGAUGUUCUAUUUAAGAAACAUGCUGCAAACUAACUUUAAUGGUCAUUAAAUUUAAUAAUGGUACUGUAAGCAAGGGAAAGACUUCUAGACGAAGAUAUAAAUACAACUUUCUCUUACGUGUAUAGGUACCAGCAAUAGAUUCAAAACACCACUAAAUUUUGUCAUCAAGCUGAUGGUUGGACUUGAUAAUCUUGAAGGUCUUUUCUAAACUAAAUGGUUCUAUGAUUUUGAAUAUUCAGUUCUAUCAAAAGGUCAGGUCAAUGAUCAACAGUAAUAAAUGGAGCAAAGUGAAUGCAGGGAAUUAUUACUGAAGGAAUACAAAACAAAAUAGAGUACCAUACAAAUAAUUACUGCUACCUUACUUUGAGUAUCAUGUGCUGCUCUGGUUUUGCCAGCCCAAAAAUGUGAUUGUAAAAUGAAAGAGAUGACCCUUGCAUGGAGUAUUUUUCUUGCAAGAAAAAACAAAGUGUACUAAGACUUUCUAGUCUGGAAAAUAUAGGACUUAGUGGGAAUACCACAGUGGUAUAGAGAUCAGUGAGCACCAAGACAAAGGCAACAUGGAACAACUGCUACCUAUAUGGUACAUGGUGUACCUGUAUCAUACAGAGCACUAAAGAACAUCUAAUUAAAUUAGUAAAAAGUAAACGCUAUUGCAAAAGUCUUUAAAAACACUAUGGCCCUUACUAAAGAAGGUUGUGGAAACUAAGAAGUUUACAGCAAUUCAUAAAACUGGAACAGGAAUUCAUGAAUAAAAAAAAUAAUCUAUUAAGGAUUCUUAAACACAAAGACUAGCUCAGGAAGUCUCCGAUUCACAGAUUACUGAUGCAAUUCUCAGGAGGUAUCUGCAGAGGCAUACCAUUUUCUUCUGUUUUAUCACUGCAUACCUGCCUGUGGGAAAAGAAUACUGGGCUAGAUUAAUCUUACCUUAACAUCUUAGUCUUACUUAAGACAUCUCUUAUGCUGGUGACAAGAUAAUCAGUAGAUGAUUAACUUUAACAGAUAUCAUUAACUUUGGCUGAAAUAAUAUAAUCACAGCUAAGAAAAAAUGGAUUAUCCAGAAAAAACAGGCACAAGGUCAGUGUUCAUUGUUGAGUUUAGUAGAUAUUGCUGACAGGAGAGCAUGAAGGACAUCUGGGCCUACCCUACCAUCUGCUUUAAAAACAUUACCCUAGCAGGUGCCAUUAGCCCAGGUCCAUGAGGCUGAGAUAUCUGAGCACAUGAGCUCCACAGACAGGAACCAUAAACAUGGACAACCUGAUGAAAUUAUUUUCACACAAGUUGCCUCCAGUGAAAAGGAGCUUGCUUUUUAUAUGUGCAAUGGACUUCCUUUUACAUUUAAUGAUGACUUCUCUCAAGGAUAUUCAAGGACAGAUUCUCUAAAUGGAGCAUUUGCUUUGUUGCUCUACUUCUGUGCCAGGUUAACUUCUUUGUGCCUAUCUCCAAAAAGCGGCUCCAAAAAGCCUUAGCAGAUUAACCUGCAGACUGGUACCUUUUUUUAUUGGCAGAUUUAUACGAUCACCAUCAUUUUAUUUGAAUGAGGAAUCGUUCCCUUUUCAGGUUAUUCAGAAAUUCACAAGAUUUUAACCUGUCGUCUCUCAACUGAACUGACCAGUUCUCAGUGAGAGCUCACAUGCCCUCUGUGCUGUGGUGCUAAAGGCAUCCUGAAAGACUGGGUACUGCAACCAAGGUUCCCAAGAGUUGAUACAGGGAAAGAACUUUCUACAAACAUAAGGGUUUCCCACACCCCUAACUGAAAAACAGCUGCUCCGUUACACAUGCUCCCACCCAACUUGCUGGGAAAGGGAUGUAUAAGUAGAAAGUCUCCUAUGAAGAAAGAAAGAACAUUUGAUGAAAAUACAAUUUUCACCAAUAGAGUAGAUAAUAAUAGUUUAGUCCGGCUUCAUCUUAAUGCAAUUGGCCCUGCAGACUUAAAAGUUGUUUUAUGAACAGCUUUUAUAGUGUUUUCUCAGCUAAAUAGGUGAGAAACAGUGGGGAAAGACAGAAUACCAUAACUGAGCAGCUAUUUCUAUUUUAGUUCAUUCCUCUGUUAGAAAUGAGAAACGAUAGCACAAUUGUAUGUGUGGUAUAAGGGGGAACUCAGAACUGGGGAGAGCUGUUCCUGCGGCAUGUACUGCAGAUAAGAAUACAGUGUCAAAUAAGUGAAUCAAAGAGUCGAUGUGUAGCUACACAUAUGUCCCAGCUGAAUCCAACAGUGUGGAUCAGAAAAGCAGCUUUCAAGACUAAUCCAUUUGAAGGAAAUUCAUCACAGUAAUUCUCCUCCGUCCUUCAUCUCAAACAACCUUCAUGUACAUUUUGAGACAUGCGUUUUCAUAAAAACUCAACAGUUGAGAACAUUUCUGAACACUCUUUACUGAUCAGCGAUUUCUGGAUGAACUGUUUAAACAGAUGGUACUAUUUCAUGGCAAAUGGAUGGUAACAGUAUUUCAGAAAGAUGAUUUUUAAGAAGCCAAGGUGCUAUUAUAUGUUGUGAAAAGAACAACAGAAGCUCCUCCCACCAUGCUGUCUUGAAGAGUUUAUAAAAAUUCCCAGAAAUCAGGCAGCAACAGUCCAUACAUCAGCUACUAAGCCAAUACAACAAUCAAAUAUUAGGUACUGUGAGUGUUGGCACUAUUACGUAUUUGUUACUGUAAGGAUGAUUAUGUCACAAUACUUUAGUACAUCCUGGUUCAGGGAAUCCUUAUUAAUUACCUUUCUUUAAAACAAAAUAAAAUAAAAAGCUGUUUGUUUGAUAUGCUUUCUUCCCCCCACACUCUAUAUUUAUUUUUAGCAUUCACGUCAAGCUUUAAACAUGCUUUAAAAUUCUAAUCUUUUUUUUUCCCCCCCCGGAAAAUAAACAGGCAUGCCAAAAGCCAAGCUCUACAGAACAAAGCAAUGCACACAAUGAUAGGUAAUAUAAGAGAUUUCAGUUUUAAAGCUUUUACAACACUACUGCAACUAGCAGUUUUAGAAAUUUUUAAGAUACUUCAGAACUUUUUUUUUAAGUCAUGGCUCAAUUUGAAGUUAUGACCUGUUAAUUCAAAUAGUGCCAGUCCUCUUAGCCCCACUGGAGUCUAGGAUCAGUGCAAUGCUAAAGAACAACACUUACAAAUCUCAACAGCAGCUGCUAAUCACUUGCCAGGGCUUACUGCAUUGCCGUCUGUCAGCUAACACUUAAUAUUAUAUUAAAAAUAUUUCUGAGGGACAUGCCACCAGAAUUUGAAUACAGCAUUCGUGCAUUAACACAAUGCACAAUGUGGAAGUGAAAAUACUGUGAUAAUUGGGACAUGCAAACAAAUUGGGUGCCAUGCUAAUUAAUGCUAAUGCUGCAUCCAACAGAAUGAUGACAAAAGAAAACACAACCAAUAGCAUCUGAGACAUUCUCUCCAUCCAUUUUUAGCUGGUUACUGGUCUAGAGAUUGUGAGCCAAACACAUGUAUUUUGUCAUGCUGAUAAAUGAUGCAGCGGUUCAAUAAAUAUCUGCAAGGGCAGGAGAAGUGAUAGUGAGAGCUAACACGCUAUCCCAUGGAUGAUAAGAGGUUUCACUAAACCUUCAACUUGCCUCACAUACUGCUAAGGUACACUGUAGACAGCAAUUACAUGAAACUGCAUCCAGUUCAUACCCCAGCUCUUUUUGGCACCCUUUAACUAAUGAAAGGUUCUUGAUAGAUAUUUCUGUCUAAAUAACUAUAUUAGGCUUAGCCAGUAUCUUCUGUGUUGUAACCAGAAAGCAAUUUACUCACAGUACAUAAUUUGCAAGGUUUUGAGAACUGCAAAAUCACAUUGCUACUGGAACAGACUUAGUUACCGGUACAGCCUUCUCCAUUAGAUACUUGCCACUAA